GCCUCCUUGGCGCAGUUGCAGCGCGCAAGUCUCAUAAUCUUGAGGUCGUGAGUUCGAUCCUCACAGGGGGCA
rnacentral:tRNA from 1 species